UAUGUUAAUAAGAGGCCAUGGAGUGCAUACAAAAACGGACCAGAUGACAAAAAGCAAACACAUUCUGAAAAGGUCUUCAUUGCCUCGUACCAUCCACAAGAUGAGCAUGUCUACACAGACAGGUGUUCGGCUAGGGUUUCUGUUUUGAUAGCAUUGUUGGAUGGCGUGGUUGACAGUUGCUUUGGACCGGCACUGCGAGAUCUACAGUGUACAUUCAACGUGACACUACAGAAGGUCAGUCUACUCCACCCUGUCAUUACAGCAGGUAGGGUGUUAGGUACACUGCUUUUUUUGAAAAUCCCAAGUCGUUUCAACACCUACCGAGUAGCAGCCACUACUAUGGCCACAACGUGUUUGUAUGUUUGCUGCUGUGCCUAUCAUCCCCAUAUUUUGUAACGAACUAGUCUUGUCUGGCGGAGUUGGACUGGCCAAUGGAAUAACAAUAUAUGGAACAUAAUGGAUUUUUCCUUAGGCUAUCAGUAUCCGUCACUUUGAACAUUGCACUGUUUUGUCUCUUUCGACGUAUUAACUGUGAUAGUAAGUGUAGCCGCCAUAUUAAAAGUGCCGCCUUAUGAAAUUUUGUACAAAAGCUGA